UAAAAAGGAACUUCUGCUACGAACGCAACAUCCAUGUUGCAAGGCAGAAGCCAGCACAUCCAUGUGCA
rnacentral:sRNA from 1 species